rnacentral:rRNA from 1 species
UACAGAGGGUGCGAGCGGUAAUCGGAAUUACUGGGCGUAAAGCGCGCGUAGGCGGCUUUGCAAGUCGGGUGUGAAAUCCCCAGGCUUAACCUGGGAACUGCAUUCGAGACUGCAUUGCUAGAGUAUGGGAGAGGGAAGUGGAAUUUCCGGUGUAGCGGUGAAAUGCGUAGAUAUCGGAAGGAACAUCAGUGGCGAAAGCGACUUCCUGGACCAAUACUGACGCUCAUGUGCGAAAGCGUGGGGAGCAAACAGG